rnacentral:lncRNA from 1 species
AAGUCUUUCUCACAUAUUACACAUCUUAUGUUUGCAGUUAAUAGGAAGUUAAUUUUAAACUGAUACUUUUCAUCUAUGACAAACAUCUCCAUCCUUUAAUGUCUCCCCCCUCCUCCGUGGGAAAAUAUAAAUCAAUCAAAUAAAACAGAAUGCAAGAUUGAUCAACUCUUUUACCAGCUAAACAUGGUGGAACCACAUCAGCACAAUAUAUAACAUAUGGUUCCAAUAUGCUGCUGGGCACCACAAUGUGAUGAUGUUGCACCACCAUGUCAGCUCCUUGCCAAUCAUAAAAGAGCCUUUUAGUCCAACAUCUUCCAAGAAUAGAUUAAAUUAAUACAAUCAAUAGCUUAAAUUAAUACAAUCAAUAGCUUACACUUUCCUUCUCCAUCAAAACAUAGCAAAGUCCUCUGGAACUUUGCAGA